ensembl:rRNA 5S_rRNA 5S ribosomal RNA
GCUUACGGCCAUACCAGCCAAGAACCGCCCGGUCUCGUCUGAUCUCGGAAGCUAAGAAAGGCUGGGCCUGGUUAGUACUUGGAUGGGAGACCUCCUGGGAAUACCAGAGUGCUGUAAGCU